rnacentral:piRNA from 1 species
UUCACUCCUAACUGGGAUUCAAGUUCUGCCU